GAUCUCGUGGCCUAGUGGUUAGAGCGUCCGCAGCUGAUGCGGAAUGUCUUGGAUUCGAUCCCCGGCCGAGUGAGUCA